CCUACGGGAGGCAGCAGUGAGGAAUAUUGGUCAAUGGACGAGAGUCUGAACCAGCCAAGUAGCGUGAAGGAUGACUGCUCUAUGGGUUGUAAACUUCUUUUAUAUGGGAAUAAAAUGUUCCACGUGUGGGAUUUUGUAUGUAUCAUAUGAAUAAGGCUGGGCCAAUUCCGUGCCAGCAGCCGCGGUAAUACGGAGGAUCCGAGCGUUAUCCGGAUUUAUGGGGUUUAAAGGGAGCGUAGGUGGAUUGUUAAGUCAGUUGUUAAAGUUUGCGGUUCAACCGUAAAAUUGCAGUUGAAACUGGCAGUCCUGAGUACAGUAGAGGUGAGCGGAAUUCGUGGUGUAGCGGUGAAAUGCUUAGAUAUCAAGAAGAACUCCGAUUGCGAAGGCAGCUCACUGGAAUGCAACUGACACUGAGGCUCGAAAGUGUGGGUAUCAAACAGGAUUAGAUACCCUGGUAGUC
rnacentral:rRNA from 1 species